rnacentral:piRNA from 1 species
UGAGACUCAUGGUGUCCUUGUCCCUGCUC